CCAAGCACUAAAAUCGUUAGAUUAAAACUUAAAGAGCAUGGCGGCCAGGAGAACUAUCAGGGGAACUUACCAACUAAUAGACAACCCACUAGGAACCCAACUUUAUUUAAAAGCUUGUAUACCGCCGUCUGCAGGUCUAUCUUAAGGAAGGACCGCUGAGCACACCUUUAAGACAGGCCAUGGUGCAGCCAAUAAUAAAGUUUCGGCGAGUUACAAUUAAUAAUUCUAUCGGUGCCAACCCUAAACAAGCUUUGGCUAAGGCGGACUUGAAAGUAAACACAAUCUCAGAAAUACUAAUUGAAUAAAGAAUCUCAUGGUGC
rnacentral:rRNA from 1 species